UACGGGGGGGGUAAGCGUUGUUCGGAAUUACUGGGCGUAAAGGGCUCGUAGGCGGCCAACUAAGUCAUACGUGAAAUCCCUCAGCUUAACUGGGGAACUGCGUGUGAUACUGGAUGGCUUGGAUUUGGGAGAGGGAUGCGGAAUUCCAGGUGUAGCGGUGAAAUGCGUAGAUAUCUGGAGGAACACCGGUGGCGAAGGCGGCUUUCUGGACAAAUACCGACGCUGAGGCACGGAAGCUAGGGGAGCAAACAGG
rnacentral:rRNA from 1 species